GACGAACGCUGGCGGCGUGCUUAACACAUGCAAGUCGAACGGUGAAGCGCCUUCCUUUUUGGUGGGUGUGGAUGAGUGGCGAACGGGUGAGUAACACGUGAGUAACCUGCCCCCUUCUUCUGGAUAACCGCAUGAAAGUGUGGCUAAUACGGGAUAUUCUGGGUCUGUCGCAUGAUGGGUCUGGGAAAGAUCUUGUUUCGGUGGGGGAUGGGCUCGCGGCCUAUCAGCUUGUUGGUGGGGUGAUGGCCUACCAAGGCGGUGACGGGUAGCCGGCAUGAGAGGGUGGACGGCAACAGUGGGACGGAGACACGGCGCAGACUCCUACGGGAGGCAGCAGGGGGGAAUAGUGCACAAUGGGCGCAAGGCUGAUGCAGCGACGCCGCGGGGGGGAUGGAGGCCGGCGGGUUGUGAACCUCUUUCGCCAGUGAAGCAGGCCUGCCUCGUUUGUGGGUGGGUUGACGGUAGCGUGAGAAGAAGCGCCGGCUAACUACGUG
rnacentral:rRNA from 1 species